rnacentral:rRNA from 1 species
CCGGACCCCACUGCUAUCGGGGUGGGACUAAAACAUGCAAGUCGAGCGCCUUCAAAGCUAUGGUGAAGGCGCGNCAAACGGCUCAGUAACACGUGGCCAACCUACCCUUGGGACGGAGGCAACCCCGGGAAACUGGGGCUAAUCCCCGAUAGGUAAGGAAUCCUGGAAUGGAUCUUUGCUGAAAGGGCGUCUAGACCAUGCUUCUUGACGUCGCCCAAGGAUGGAGCCGCGGCCGAUCAGGUAGUUGGCGAGGCAACGGCUCACCAAGCCUAUAACCGGUACGGGCCGUGAGAGCGGUAGCCCGGAGAUGGGCACUGAGACAAGGGCCCAGGCCCCACGGGGCGCAGCAGUUGCGAAAACUCCGCAAUGCGCGAAAGCGUGACGGGGCUACCCCGAGUGCCGCCCGUUGAGGGCGGCUUUUCCAUGGUGUAAGGAGCCGUGGGAAUAAGGAGAGGGCAAGACUGGUGUCAGCCGCCGCGGUAAUACCAGCUCUCCGAGUGGUGGGGACGAUUAUUGGGCUUAAAGCGUUCGUAGCCGGCUUAACAAGUCUUCCGUUAAAUCCAACGAUUCAAUCGUUGGGCCGCGGGGGAUACUGUUCGGCUAGGGGGCGGAAGAGGUCGACGGUAUUCUCGGGGUAGGGGUGAAAUCCUAUAAUCCCGGGAGGACCACCAGUGGCGAAGGCGUCAGACUGGAACGUGCCUGACGGUGAGGGACGAAAGCCAGGGGAGCGAACCGGAUUAGAUACCCGGGUAGUCCCAGCCGUAAACGAUGCAGGCUAGGUGUUGGCGCGGCCACGAGCCGCGCCAGUGCCGUAGCGAAGGCGUUAAACCGGCCCCUUGGGAAGUACGGCCGCAAGGUUGAAACUUAA